UCGCGAAUCAUUCACAAUGGGCGCAAGCCUGAUGAUGCCACGCCGUGUGCGGGAUGAAGGCCCUCUGGGUUGUAAACCGCUGUCGAGGGAGGGGAAAUGCGUAUUUUUAAUAGAGAUACGUUUGACUGCUCCCUGAAGGAAGCCCCGGCAAAACAUGUGCCAGCAGCCGCGGUAAUGCAUGUGGGGCGAGCGUUGUUCGGAAUCACUGGGCAUAAAGGGUGCGUAGGCGGUAUGUUAAGUCAGCGGUGAAAUCCUGCGGCCCAACCGCAGCACGGCCGUUGAUACUGGCGUACUGGAGUGCGUGAGGGGUAGGGGGAACGCGUGGUGUAGCGGUGAAAUGCGUAGAUAUCACGCGGAAGGCCAGAGCCGAAGGGGCCCUACUGGUACUGCACUGACGCUG
rnacentral:rRNA from 1 species